GCACUUCCUCUCUCUGCAACUUGCAUCGCCUUUGGCUCUCGCUCUCGUCUCUCUCGUUCUCUUUCCCUUGGGCCGAAGACUCUUCUCUCUCUUUCCGCCUCAAAAAUUGCCGUGCUUCAAGGGAAACCUACCAUGCUUAUGAACUCAGAGGGAAAAAGGGUGUGUUCGUCUUCCGUUGGAUCUGUUUAUGUUGGCCUUUUCAAUGACUUUCCAGCUGCUUGCUUAUCUGUUGUUCAAGUUCCGAGAUCGACUUGGAUGAACUGUUGCCAAAUCUUAUUAAGCAGGUGUUAGAUUUGUUCUAUUCUCUACUUUAUAUUUAAGCAAAGGAAUAUGCGGCUAUUUUAUUCUGCUCGGCUAAUUUGAUGACUGAAACCGAUACCGUUUCUUGGUUAUUUUUACUCUCUCGUUAAACAAGUUGGAUCGUAGUGACGGUCGUUUCGUUGUACUGGAAGCUGUUAAUCAGAUGUGAGUUGCACAUCGAUCGUGUCUCGGAGAUUGAACUGCAUCCUUCUCAGACUACUGACUGAUUUACUACUUUGAAUUGAUUGGUUUUGAAAGAGAAAAUCAAAUGAUAUAGGUGAGAUUUUGUCCA